GACGAACGCUGGCGGCGUGCUUAACACAUGCAAGUCGAACGGUGAAGCGCCUUCCUUUUUGGUGGGUGUGGAUGAGUGGCGAACGGGUGAGUAACACGUGAGUAACCUGCCCCCUUCUUCUGGAUAACCGCAUGAAAGUGUGGCUAAUACGGGAUAUUCUGGGUCUGUCGCAUGAUGGGUCUGGGAAAGAUAUUGUUUCGGUGGGGGAUGGGCUCGCGGCCUAUCAGCUUGUUGGUGGGGUGAUGGCCUACCAAGGCGGUGACGGGUAGCCGGCCUGAGAGGGUGGACGGUCACACUGGGACUGAGACACGGCCCAGACUACUACGGGAGGCAGCGGUGGGGAAUAUUGCACAAUGGGCGCAAGCCUGAUGCAGCGACGCCGCGUGAGGGAUGGAGGCCUUCGGGUUGUGAACCUCUUUCGCCAGUGAAGCAGGCCUGCCUCGUUUGUGGGUGGGUUGACGGUAGCUGGAUAAGAAGCGCCGGCUAACUACGUG
rnacentral:rRNA from 1 species